GUGGUAUCCUGUCUGAAUAUGGGGGGACCAUCCUCCAAGGCUAAAUACUCCUGACUGACCGAUAGUGAACCAGUACCGUGAGGGAAAGGCGAAAAGAACCCCGGCGAGGGGAGUGAAAAAGAACCUGAAACCGUGUACGUACAAGCAGUGGGAGCACAGGUUUACCUGUGUGACUGCGUACCUUUUGUAUAAUGGGUCAGCGACUUAUAUUCUGUAGCAAGGUUAACCGAAUAGGGGAGCCGGAGGGAAACCGAGUCUUAAUUGGGCGUUAAGUUGCAGGGUAUAGACCCGAAACCCGGUGAUCUAGCCAUGGGCAGGUUGAAGGUUGGGUAACACUAACUGGAGGACCGAACCGACUAAUGUUGAAAAAUUAGCGGAUGACCUGUGGCUGGGGGUGAAAGGCCAAUCAAACCGGGAGAUAGCUGGUUCUCCCCGAAAGCUAUUUAGGUAGCGCCUCGUGAAUUCAUCUCCGGGGGUAGAGCACUGUUUCGGCUAGGGGGCCAUCCCGGCUUACCAACCCGAUGCAAACUGCGAAUACCGGAGAAUGUUAUCACGGGAGACACACGGCGGGUGCUAACGUCCGUCGUGAAGAGGGAAACAACCCAGACCGCCAGCUAAGGUCCCAAAGUCAUGGUUAAGUGGGAAACGAUGUGGGAAGGCCCAGACAGCCAGGAUGUUGGCUUAGAAGCAGCCAUCAUUUAAAGAAAGCGUAAUAGCUCACUGGUCGAGUCGGCCUGCGCGGAAGAUGUAACGGGGCUAAACCAUGCACCGAAGCUGCGGCAGCGAACGUAUCACCCAAGACAACUUUACGGAGUUGACGAUUGACGGAGCGAAGCGACGUCAAAGCGUUCAUUAAAGUCGAGUUGGCUUAGGGAUACGUUCGUUGGGUAGGGGAGCGUUCUGUAAGCCUGUGAAGGUGUGUCGUGAGGCAUGCUGGAGGUAUCAGAAGUGCGAAUGCUGACAUAAGUAACGAUAAAGCGGGUGAAAAGCCCGCUCGCCGGAAGACCAAGGGUUCCUGUCCAACGUUAAUCGGGGCAGGGUGAGUCGACCCCUAAGGCGAGGCCGAAAGGCGUAGUCGAUGGGAAACGGGUUAAUAUUCCCGUACUUGGUGUUACUGCGAAGGGGGGACGGAGAAGGCUAUGUUGGCCGGGCGACGGUUGUCCCGGUUUAAGCGUGUAGGUGUGUGUUCCAGGUAAAUCCGGUUCACUU
rnacentral:rRNA from 1 species